rnacentral:rRNA from 1 species
AAACCAACAGGGAUUGCCUUAGUAACUGCGAGUGAAGCGGCAAGAGCUCAAAUUUGAAAUCUGGCACCUUCGGUGUCCGAGUUGUAAUUUGUAGAAGCAUCUUUUGGAUUGGUCCUUGCAUAUGUUCCUUGGAACAGGACAUCAUAGAGGGUGAGAAUCCCGUUCAUGGUGGGGAAUCCAAUUCUUUGUAAAGUGCUUUCGAAGAGUCGAGUUGUUUGGGAAUGCAGCUCUAAGUGGGUGGUAAAUUCCAUCUAAAGCUAAAUAUUGGCGAGAGACCGAUAGCGAACAAGUACAGUGAUGGAAAGAUGAAAAGAACUCCGAAAGGAGAGUGAAAAAGGACGUGAAAUUGUUGAAAGGGAAGUGCUUGAGAUCAGUCUUAAGGUUUAGUGAUCAGUCUUCCUUUUGGUUGGUGCACUCACUAUUUCUUAGGCCAACAUCAGUUUUCGCGGCAGGAUAAUGACAUUGGAAUGUGGCUCUUUCGGGAGUGUUAUAGCCUUUGUUGAUACUGCCUGCUUAGACUGAGGACCGCGCUUUUGCUAGGAUGUUGGCAUAAUGAUCUUAAGCAGCCC